CCCUUAGACGUUCUGGGCCGCACGCGCGCUACACUGACCAGUGCAACAAGCAUCCGUCCUUGGCCGACAGGCCCGGGCAAUCUUUGAACGCUGGUCGUGAUGGGGAUAGACUUUUGCAAUUUUUGGUCUUCAACGAGGAAUUCCUAGUAAACGCAAGUCAUCAACUUGCAUUGAUUACGUCCCUGCCCUUUGUACACACCGCCCGUCGCACCUACCGAUUGAAUGGUCCGGUGAAGCCUCCGGAUUGGCGCGCACCUCGGUGCCGCCGAGAAGUUGGCUAAACCUUACCAUUUAGAGGAGGGUGAAGUCGUANCA
rnacentral:rRNA from 1 species